rnacentral:rRNA from 1 species
GACGUAGGGCGCGAGCGUUGUCCGGAUUUAUUGGGCGUAAAGAGCUCGUAGGCGGCUUGUCGCGUCGACUGUGAAAACCCGCGGCUCAACUGUGGGCUUGCAGUCGAUACGGGCAGGCUGGAGUUCGGUAGGGGAGACUGGAAUUCCUGGUGUAGCGGUGAAAUGCGCAGAUAUCAGGAAGAACACCCGUGGCUAAGGCGGCUCUCUAGUACGGUACUGACGCUGAGACGCGAAAGCGUGGGGAGCGAACAGG